AACGGCCGUACCAUGCUGAAUAGAUCGGUUCUCGUUAGAUCACCGAAGUCAAGCCCCAUUGGGCGCGACCGGUACUUGGGUGGGUGACCACCUGGGAACACUGCGUGCCGUU
rnacentral:rRNA from 1 species